rnacentral:snoRNA from 1 species
UCCUCCUAGUUCAUCCUCACUGAGCCAUCAAGAAGAGGCAGAGUGAAAUCACUGCUUUUGGGUGAAGUGGUAACAUGUGUUGUUUGCUUCAACCUGUAUUGUGACAAAA